rnacentral:lncRNA from 1 species
AUUUUUCCGACCACAACCCAUAGAGGUGGAAUCGCCGACCGACGUCACGCGAUCUUUGAUGGAGAAGCUGAAGCCCGAUAACCAUGGGUACCGUCUAGAUUCUGGGAUUCCGUUCCUUCUCAAAUAAGCAUGUACUCUCACUCUCACUCAUUUUCUUUAUCUCACUUCCACUGUCUCCGUAAGAAUCCUCCCUCCCCUUUUCUUCUCUCUAUAUGUGCGUUGUAUUAUAAUUUUGUGAGAGAAUGGGAAUUUUCUUUUUGGAGUAGUUAAAGAAUUCAUGAAAUAUGAUUGCUGAAGUAAUGUGGGACUUCGUGCCGUGUUUAGCUUUUUGUGCGCCAUUGAUUUUACUAUGUGAAAGGAUUACAGUACCAUAAGAUAUUUUGUUAGUCGUAAUUGUAGUCUGAUUUUUGUAAAUGGUUAGUUGAUUGAUACGCUUGUGCCCUAGAAACAAUAUUAUUAUUAUUAUUAUUUUGGAUAAAUUCGUUUGUAUUUGAGCAUUCACAUACAAUCCCUUGAAGUUGAUUGCAGAGUACACCUCUUGCUAUCAAGCUCUAGCAAUUGGAUCUAGAUCAUAGGCGCAUAUAUGAGUCUUCUCACCUAACUUAUCCAUUUAAUUGGGCAGUGGGAGCUGGGUUUCCCUUAUUCAUUAAAUCUCAGUAAUAUAUCUCCUUCAUUUUGAAAAAUAAAGUAAAAUAAAGCUUACAAUGUGUUGAAGUAUUAAAUUAGAACCAAAACGUGAAUGAAGCAAUCUACAUGAUGAUUAGUGGGAGAUGAAUGAUCAGCAACAAUUAUUUCCCAAGUCUUAUUUUCUGAGGUAUUGUUUUCAUCAUAAACAACAUUUCCAUAUCAAAGUACAAUUUCCAACAGAUAUGAUGUUUACAUGUUGAUCACCUAUACAACGUGACUAAAUGCUGUGCAGCAAAUAUAAGAUCUUGGUAAAAUGCAUUAAAAUAAUGCUCCAAAAUUUCUCCUCCUUGCAUAUGCGGCCGUAAAAUUUUCCUCUCUUCUCAUGAUUCAUCUAGUUUUCUAAUCUUUCUGUCUUCUUUUACCGCACAGUUAUUUUACCUUUGUCUUGUCUUUUAUUGAAUAGAUCCCAUGUGCAAUCUUUAUAGUUUUCUACAGAAAAUUUUUGCUAAUAUUUCUCAUCAAUCUCUUUCCGAUGGCUGCAGGAGUCCUGUUUGAUGAGGUUGGUGAUGAAUGUGAUAGAACAGCAAUUCAGUUUACAUAUCAAAGACGCCAGAAGGAAGCUAGGGCAGAAAAGGAACUGCAGGAAGAGUGAAGCCACGUGCAUAAUAACAGAAAUUGUUAUGGAACAGUCCAGAAGCACAACAACAUAUAAAGAGGGGAAAAUUGAAUUCAGAGGCAGGCAGAACUUGGUAUUCACUAGGAGAGUGGCGGACCUCUCGAAUGUCCAUAUCUAUAUCCUUGUUAGUUUCUUUCUUUUAUCUGUUCUUUUGCAUCCAGAUCUGUUUCUUCUUAUAGCAGAUCCGUUAUUAUUGUAAUUCCAGUUCAUCAAUGAAAUGAUAUGCUGUGUUCCAGCUCUCAAUUAUUUUAAAAGUGUGUUGGAUAAAUCGACAUUAUUCCAGGUUUCUAUCAGAAUGCUCUACAGGGUGUAGAAUCUGAUUUAAUAACUAUUGAGAAAUCUCUGCGGUACUUUGUUACAUUUUCAGUAUAUGGAACUUCUCAUCAAAUUCCAAUUUUUUUUCGAAAAUACUGAUUUUAUUUUAUAUUCUUUUCUAAGCAUGAUUUAGACAGUAUGGAAAAUUUUCCAAUACUUUCUGCUUUCCAUGUGAACUUUUACAUGCAUUUACAUAUGUAAGCUUAACAUUUCUAUUUCUGAUCACGUGCCUUAUUUCCUUGCAGGCAUAAACUUAACCAUUUUGUAUCUAUGUUACUGCAUUGUGUACAAUCAAAAUUUUCCCAAGUAUCAUGGUGCAGAUCUCUGCGCUCCCUUAAGCAUGAGGUUUGGAUUCUGUAAUUGAUUAUACUCUGGUACCGUCAUUCCUUAUGUCUAUUGAAAGUUCAAUCAUAAAUUAACUUGAUUGUUUAUCUACACCCUAUAUCAGUGAAUCGAGUUUCAUUGAAAAUGUACAUAGGGAAAGAAGGGAUGAAAGAGGGGAUGCUUGCUUUAUGUUUUGCACUUAAUUAACAGUGUUAAUGAUGGAAAUCAUGUUAAGUUAUUCUAAUUUAUAUGCCUUGUUAUGGUGGCAUUAAAAAGUUCACGUUGCAAAGAAGUCUUUGGAAUAGCUUUCUCACAAUUGAUAUGGUGAUUCACGAAUAUGAUCCCUACCAUCUACAAACAAUUUGGAUAAAUCUCACUGAAAUCUAAGAAAUAUUAACUAAUCAGGAAAAAUUUAUUAAGAGUUUGAACCUUGAUUCGUUUCUACAUCAGCCCUCAAUUUGAGGCCAAAACGAGUAUAAUAAAUUUUGGGAAACACCUUAAUCCAACCUAGCUAAUAAUGUGGUAUGAAAUACCAGAGUUGUGGGAAAUCAUUUUUAUAUUGAGAGUAAUAUAGGGAUUUAAGAGCGAAUCGUCUGAAUUCAGCAUAUAUUACUGUCAAAUUUCAGCUUUUAUUUAUUCUUAAUUGUCAGAUAACAAUUCUAUUUUUUUCCUUCUCUUUUCUUUAUUUUUUUGAGACAAUAUGAUUAUUUUAGAGACACCCCUUACUUUUAAAAAAUUACACUAACCUCUCAUAUCUAUUUUUGAAUAUUACAUACACCGUGACUGCUUUUUGAAUCACAUAUCAUCUAAAAUGAGGUUGAUAUACCUAAAAUUCUCGUGUAUAAAAGAUGAAAAUUUCUAUAAUUAGUUGCAAUUUUAUAGAUUUCCUUUAGUAAUAAAUUAAUACUUCAAGAUUUUGUGCAUGCACAAUUCUGAAUAUUCAAGCUAGUGGA